GCAGCCUAUAUCUGAAACCUUCCUACAAAUUCCACCAGAACUGCAGGCCAAUUUUGACACUUGCAGUGCCUAUCUGGACGACUUUGAGUUGCAUCCUGUUCAAGACACACUCCUAACGAGUCAGACAGACUCACCCCCUAAUCCUCGGGUCGAGGGUGAAUCAUCAGCACAGAAUAUUCGAGAGAUCCAAGCCGGUAUAUCACUCGUCACAGACCCCCUCCUGACGAGAUAUCACCCCGAUCAGUCAAGCUAUUAUCAAGGUGACCAACACUGCUGCUACUGCCAUCUUUAUGGACACACCCACUGAGGGUCUCAUGUAAAAUGAUGCCGAUGUAACCGACCGGUAUGUUUCUUCAGCUGUGACAAAUGUAUUUCUGAUUUUUGUUUCAUAAACGGUCAAACAUG